rnacentral:snRNA from 1 species
AACUCUUCUCGCCCUUUUGGCUAAGAUCAAGUGCAGUAUUUGUUCUUAUCGGUUUAAUAUCUGAUAUGUGAGGUAGAGAAGCAGCGCGGCUCCGU